rnacentral:rRNA from 1 species
AUGUCUGCUGUCGAGCUUGACAUUAGAGAGGAGAUAGAGGAGGCGGCUAUCAACCUCAACGUCACUAUGUCACAGGGAUCAUUUAGCACACAGCCUCAGCCAAAGAGGGUGGUGAGGCCUGGGAAAUAUGCAAGGUCUCCCUUUGUAAUGGGCAUGUGGAUUAUCAGCACCAACCCAAAAUACAUGGACAUCAGUGGGGAGCGGCUCCGUGAGAUGCUACGCGAUGGUGGUGAGGUGGAUAGUGUGCCGAUGACAUUGGUGAUGAGAAGGUACCAACAGAUGGAUGUGGUCUUUGCUGCUGCAAAAGGGGAAGGAUGUUAGCGACAUUGGCUGGAGCCAGAUUUUGUGAACCAUGUUAGCAGAGGAGACAACAUUUCAAAGCUGAGGUACAUCAAGGACAUGUUCGUGGGGCCGCAUAUCACUUACGAGGUUCACAAGUGCACCGAGGUGACCUUUAAAAAGACAAAAGUGAUUUAA